UUUUCGUGUUGAUACCGAAACGAAUACACGCAUUUGCGUAGUAGCUGUGAGCAUAAUAAAAAUUAUUUGCAAUAAAUAAACAGAAAAGUGAUUUUUUACUCUUUUCGAAGUGCGAUAAAUCGGUGUGAAUUCUUUCAAAAAGGAUUUUAAUGCGCUGUUGCAAGCCAUUAAGUGUUGCUUAGCGGACAAUAAACCUGUCAAAGGGACUGCUAAAGCAUAUGGCAUUUCUCGGAGCAGUCUGCAACGCUAUGUGAAGAAAGUGGCAGCCCAAUUUGACAUUUCAUUCGUGGAAGAUGGUGUUUUGUUGGAAUUUGUCUGAACCUACUGCCACGGAAAUUAACCGCCGCAAACUCCAUUAAAUGCAAUGAAUGCAGUCGUCCGGUGCAUUUAAAGUGCGCUGAUAUGCGUACCAGCUACUUUACAUGCAAGCAUUGUGCUUCUGAUUUCGAAGAUGAAGAAGGCGACGAGUAAUGUGAAAACGUGUCAUCUUUUUUUGUUUUUUUGCCAGUAAAGGCUUUUAAAAUAAAUAAAUUUUUAUUUUCCCUUUA